GGUGGGCGACCUAGAACUUAAAUGUAUUCUCGCAUUUUACUGGUGGGCGACCUAGAACUUAGAUGUAUUCCCGCAUUUUACUGGUGGGCGACCUAGAACUUAAAUGUUUCCCGCAUUUUACUGGUGGGCGACCUAGAACUUAAAAGUAUUCCCGUAUUUUACUGGUGGGCGACCUAGAACUUAAAUGUAUUGAAAUUGUUUCCCCGUUCUACCGAGAAAAUUUUCGACAAUCGGCAGAAAAUUUUCUGCCCCGGUUUUUUGGUGAUUUCCAUGGCGUUGCGUCUUGCUGCCAUCAUUAAUCCUUUGUUUUCCUGCAGCAGACAAAAGGAUUUAGUUAGUUUUAAUCGUGGUGGGAGGAGGUGCCGUUCUGGCGGAUGAUUUUUCUCUCCUCCCCUUUUUUUGCUCUAUGCCCCCAUAAUUGGUUGGUGGACAGAAUUGCUUGCUGAGGGUUUCCGGCCUGCUGGGGGU
rnacentral:lncRNA from 1 species